UUCUCUCUCUUUCAAUUUCGGGCCUCACCCCCGUCACAGGCUCACACCAAGAGGCAAUAGACUAUCUAACUGGUCAUCAUCUAAACCCUACUUUCUCCCCCUAGGUUCUGUUACAGAGAGCAAGUAUGCUGCGUCGGAAAAUUAGGUUAACGAAGGAGUACUUGUACAGAAAGGGCUUGGAAGGCAAACAACGGUUGCUCUAUGAGAAGAAGCGCAAGAUCAGAGAAGCUCUAGAAGAGGGAAAACCAAUACCCACUGAGCUUCGAAAUGAGGAAGCUGCCCUUCGUGAAGAAAUUGAUCUGGAGGACGAAAACACUGCCGAGCCAAGGUCACAUAUUGAUGAUGAGUAUGCAAACGCAUCACAGAGGGACCCCAAAAUUUUAAUAACUACUUCCAGGGAUCCGAGUGCUCCGCUGAUACAAUUUGCAAAGGAACUGAAACUUGUUUUUCCUAAUGCACAACAAAUGAAUCGUGGUGGCCAGGUUAUUUCUGAAAUCAUUGAAACUUGCCGCGCACACGAUUUUACAGAUGUUGUGUUGGUUCAUGAGCAUCGUGGUGUACCAGAUGGCUUGAUUAUAAGCCACCUUCCUUUUGGUCCAACAGCUUAUUUUCAACUGCUCAAUGUGGUUACAAGACAUGACAUCAAAGAUAAGAAAACCAUGGGAACGAUGCCUCAGGUUUAUCCACAUUUGAUUCUCAACAAUUUCACGACUAAGUUGGGUGAGAGGACAGCAAAUAUUUUAAAGCAUCUCUUUCCAGUUCCAAAGCAGGACACGAAACGCAUAAUCACUUUCGCCAAUCAGUCUGACUACAUUUCAUUCAGUUUGAAGAACAUACAGGCAUCAUACUUAUGAGAAGCACGGAGGCCCUAAAUCCGUUGAGCUGAAGGAGGUUGGUCCUCGGUUUGAAUUGAGGCUUUUUAAGAUUAAGUUAGGAACAGUGGAUCAGAAUGAAGCCCAGACUGAAUGGGUUAUCAGACCAUACAUGAACACAGCCAAGAAACAGAAGUUUAUGGGGGAUUGAUAAACUACAAUUUUUACCUACAAUUUUGGUAACUAAUCCUUUGUAUGAUUCAACCAGCUGACCUCUUUUGGGCUUAUUGAUACAAUCAUCAGACUAUCCAGCCUCUUCAUCUUUUUCUGAUUUUUCUUCAGUGCGACUCCCGAUUCUUCGAAACUAGGGUAUGUUAGUAAUUUUCAUUUGUUUUUGUGCUUCUUUUAAAUUAAAAGAAACAGAUGAGAGCCGUUGUGUUGAAAUUACACAUGGUUCUGAAACUAAAAACUGAAAUGUAAAAAGUUAUCUUAAUUUUAUUUGCUUUCACACUUUUCUUCUUCA